rnacentral:rRNA from 1 species
GACGAACGCUGGCGGCGUGCCUAAUACAUGCAAGUAGAACGCUGAAGAGAGGAGCUUGCUCUUCUUGGAUGAGUUGCGAACGGGUGAGUAACGCGUAGGUAACCUGCCUUGUAGCGGGGGAUAACUAUUGGAAACGAUAGCUAAUACCGCAUAACAAUGGAUGACACAUGUCAUUUAUUUGAAAGGGGCAAUUGCUCCACUACAAGAUGGACCUGCGUUGUAUUAGCUAGUAGGUGAGGUAACGGCUCACCUAGGCGACGAUACAUAGCCGACCUGAGAGGGUGAUCGGCCACACUGGGACUGAGACACGGCCCAGACUCCUACGGGAGGCAGCAGUAGGGAAUCUUCGGCAAUGGGGGCAACCCUGACCGAGCAACGCCGCGUGAGUGAAGAAGGUUUUCGGAUCGUAAAGCUCUGUUGUAAGUCAAGAACGAGUGUGAGAGUGGAAAGUUCACACUGUGACGGUAGCUUACCAGAAAGGGACGGCUAACUACGUGCCGGCAGCCGCGGUAAUACGUAGGUCCCGAGCGUUGUCCGGAUUUAUUGGGCGUAAAGCGAGCGCAGGCGGUUUGAUAAGUCUGAAGUUAAAGGCUGUGGCUCAACCAUAGUUCGCUUUGGAAACUGUCAAACUUGAGUGCAGAAGGGGAGAGUGGAAUUCCAUGUGUAGCGGUGAAAUGCGUAGAUAUAUGGAGGAACACCGGUGGCGAAAGCGGCUCUCUGGCCUGUAACUGACGCUGAGGCUCGAAAGCGUGGGGAGCGAACAGGAUUAGAUACCCUGGUAGUCCACGCCGUAAACGAUGAGUGCUAGGUGUUGGAUCCUUUCCGGGAUUCAGUGCCGCAGCUAACGCAUUAAGCACUCCGCCUGGGGAGUACGACCGCAAGGUUGAAACUCAAAGGAAUUGACGGGGGCCCGCACAAGCGGUGGAGCAUGUGGUUUAAUUCGAAGCAACGCGAAGAACCUUACCAGGUCUUGACAUCCCGAUGCUAUUUCUAGAGAUAGAAAGUUACUUCGGUACAUCGGUGACAGGUGGUGCAUGGUUGUCGUCAGCUCGUGUCGUGAGAUGUUGGGUUAAGUCCCGCAACGAGCGCAACCCCUAUUGUUAGUUGCCAUCAUUCAGUUGGGCACUCUAGCGAGACUGCCGGUAAUAAACCGGAGGAAGGUGGGGAUGACGUCAAAUCAUCAUGCCCCUUAUGACCUGGGCUACACACGUGCUACAAUGGUUGGUACAACGAGUUGCGAGUCGGUGACGGCAAGCUAAUCUCUUAAAGCCAAUCUCAGUUCGGAUUGUAGGCUGCAACUCGCCUACAUGAAGUCGGAAUCGCUAGUAAUCGCGGAUCAGCACGCCGCGGUGAAUACGUUCCCGGGCCU